GACUAACGCUGACGGUGUGCAUAAUACAUGCAAGUCGAACGUGCAAUGAAAAAGUAGCAAUACUUUUUCAAAGCAAGUGGCGAACGGGUGCGUAACGCGUGGGUAAUCUGCCUUGAAGAUUGGGACAACUCCUCGAAAGAGGGGCUAAUACCAAAUAUUCUAUAUGAACCGCAUGAUUUAUAUAGCAAAGGUAGCCGCAAGGCUUCCACUUUAAGAUGAGCCCGCGUCCUAUUAGCUAGUUGGUAAGGUAACGGCUUACCAAGGCUAUAAUGGGUAGCCGGUCUGAGAGGAUGGUCGGCCACACUGGGACUGAGAUACGGCCCAGACUCCUACGGGAGGCAGCAGUAGGGAAUAUUGCGCAAUGGGCGAAAGCCUGACGCAGCGACACCGUGUGAAGGAUGAAGAUUUUCGGAUCGUAAACUUCUGUCAAUUGGGGACGAAGGUAGUAGGGUUAAUAGCUUUUACUAUUGACGGUACCCA
rnacentral:rRNA from 1 species